rnacentral:rRNA from 1 species
CCUACGGGAGGCAGCAGUGGGGAAUAUUGGACAAUGGGCGAAAGCCUGAUCCAGCAAUGCCGCGUGAGUGAUGAAGGCCUUAGGGUUGUAAAGCUCUUUUACCAGGGAUGAUAAUGACAGUACCUGGAGAAUAAGCUCCGGCUAACUCCGUGCCAGCAGCCGCGGUAAUACGGAGGGAGCUAGCGUUGUUCGGAAUUACUGGGCGUAAAGCGUACGUAGGCGGUUAUUCAAGUCAGAGGUGAAAGCCUGGAGCUCAACUCCAGAACUGCCUUUGAAACUAGAUAGCUAGAAUCUUGGAGAGGUGAGUGGAAUUCCGAGUGUAGAGGUGAAAUUCGUAGAUAUUCGGAAGAACACCAGUGGCGAAGGCGACUCACUGGACAAGUAUUGACGCUGAGGUACGAAAGCGUGGGGAGCAAACAGGAUUAGAUACCCUGGUAGUCCACGCCGUAAACGAUGAUAACUAGCUGUUCGGGCUCUACGAGCUUGAGUGGCGCNGCUACGCAUUAAGUUAUCCGUCCGUCGGGAGGUACGGUCGCGAGAAUUAAAACGUUAAAACGGUAAAGUUAGUACGGCGUGAGACGUGCCGAACGGACGACCGACCGAGGGGAGGUAGG